CUCAGGUUGCUUAAGGCCAGUCUUGCCCCAGGACUAUUUACAAUAAGCUCUGGAGCUGGAAGAAAGUUUAUGUCAGGGGCCAGGAUGUGGCUCAGUUGGUGACGUGUUUGCCUAACAAGCACAAACCCUGAGUCUGAUCUUCAGCAUGGGAGGUGGAAGCAGGAGCAGCAGAAAUUCAAGGAGCUUCAAGAAUUCUCUGAAACUGACCAGAUUCGGCAGGCCCCUCCCUAGCAGAGUAAGCAGAGCCCAGCUGCAAAGAAGAGCAGCCUGGAGAAGGGUUAGAGCAACCGAGGCACCUGGGAAGGACAUUUGCCAACCCAUUAAGCCACCUACAAGCUAUACAGUGAGCUCCCAUUUCCCAGCUUUGGGAGCUGUCACCCAUGCUGGGGUGGGCUUUGGUGAUUCGGUUGUCUAUGAGCCAUUUCUGCUCUUGUAUGUAACCCCUCACCCUCAUUCCUGUAAGUCACCCGAAUAAAACUCAUUGACUCACCAA